AUGUCAGUGAUUAAGGAAGUGUGCUGCAAGUAUAAGAAAUUCAAAGAAAUUUUUAAAAUGCAAAGACUUUUACUAUGGAACCCUAAAAGGACUGUUACCACAUUAUGGCAACUACAGUGUGACCCCAGGAGGCUUCCUCUUUUGGGGAGGAUGUCUGUCUUUCUCAUCUGGAUGGGACAGGAAUCCAGGACCAAGCUAAGCAGGCGGAUGCGGUCAUCAUCCCCUGCAGAGGAGGAGGUAGGUAGUUGGAUCACUUGGAUGAAGUGCCCCAGACUUUGCCCAGUGGACAUCCCAUGUGGUGCUGCUAGCAGGAGAACAGGGAGCUCUGGUGCCAGAGCUAAAAGGCCCAUUGUGACAGUGACAGUGACAACUACAGGGCACAGAGCCAAGCCAACAGGAAGCCACCUGGGGACUCAAUCUCUUGGCCUCUCCACACCAAAGCAGGCAUGUGCUCCCAGCAUUAGAGACGCCUGUGGAUAUCACUGUUGGGUUUUACACACACACACAUACACACACACAGGCGCGCAGAGGAGCAGCAACACCCACGUCCUCACUUCUGAGAGCUCUGCAGCACUGCGGAGUCCACAGCCUUCCAGGAGUGAAGGAGUUUCUCUCAGAAGAGAAGCCAGGCAUUCUUGAAGCUGUGUGUCUGCAUUAUUUCACCUCACACCAGCCCCUCCUGCAUGGGAAGGCGACUCAUGGACUCCUCUAGGGGCAAAAGGGUCUCGGACUGUCAGGGCCUCUCCACACAUCUUCACUGAUCCCCGCAGGAACCCACGGAUCCACCAGACAGUGAAGACAAGGAGCAGGAGGAGGGUGGAAGUCAACAUGUGAAUUAAACCUCUCCCUCUUAAAAGCAUGGGCACAAGUGAAAAUGCACAUUGAGGACCUGGGAACUGAAGUCCCUCCGAGGACCCUAGCUGCCGUGGCAGUGCUGGGCAGGAGGGAAAGGACGACGCAGAGAGGGAUCGGGAGGACGCGGGGGAGCCAACUCUGGCUGGGCCCUUCUGGGGCCCAGCUAUGCACAGCCUCCUUCACCGCAGCUUUCGUGUUUAAACCAGCACACAAAUGCCUACGUGCUGCUCCAACAAAGCGUGAGUACCUGUGUUUCCCCUUCUCCUUUUUCCUCCCUUAGGAUGGCCUUGGGGAGAAUAACACAGGUCACACCCGUGCUCUCUGUUCCUUGAAGAGAGUUUUUGCAGGAAGGAAGGUAUCCUCCUGCCUCAGCCUCCUGAGUGUUGAGAUCAUAGGUAUGCGCCACCAGGCCUAGCCAUCACUAGGACAUUUUUAAGUGUUCCCUGUGCCUGGAUCUCCACUGGAAGUUAUUUUCUCCGCACCUGAGUACACAGUUUAGAAAGGGUUUAAUGUUAAUUACGGGAGGAAAACAUGUCAAUGUGGAGAUAAAGACUUGAAAGAUAGGCAAACUCCUCUCUUCAAUCAACGGUGCUGCUCUCAGUGUCACUGAGACAUCCUCGGUGAGGCCACCCUGAAAAAGCCAGGACCCCAGAGGGGACAACAAGCACGGGGGAAGCCGGAUCUGCACUGGGCGUCAGUUUGUUCUCUUAGGGUGGACAGAGACAACCAGGGUACCUUCAAGAGCAGCUGGAUAAGCUAGGCGGGAACUAGGUGACCCCAAGCACCCCACGAAGGAGAUGAUGGGAGAUGGGGUGUUCCCAGGUGCUGCGGGCAGGAGAGGAAAGAGGAGGAGAGGGCAUGGCGCAACGUAGCAGGACACGGGGCAGGCCUAUGCGCGGGGGCUCUCUACUGAGACCUGUCUGAUGUUUUCUGUCUGAUGAGGCUAGGGCUGGUGGUUUAGAGAGAAACGGGACAGAGCUGAAGUGACACUACUGUCCUGUCCCAUGCUCAGAAUAUGACUCCUCACUGCUGCUGUUGAACACCCUCUCUUCUGUGGCUGUUCCACCCCAGUCUGCGCCAUCUUUUCCGACUGGGUCUCUGGAAGGAAGCCACCUGAGAAAUAGUUACACUCCCUGGGAGAACUACUAAGAGCAAAACUAACACUGAAUCCUAAAUUACAAAUGGCCACUGUCCUCUACCUGCAGGGACCGGCUGGUACCCGGAAUGUUACUGCACGCAGAUGCUAUGUGUGAGGACAGCUCGGGGAAACCAAAGAGAAGAGGCUGGUGUGGGUCCACAUGGAGCGUGAGAGGAAAAGCCACCCACAGAAAGCCUUCCGGCACCCCCAGGACAGGAGGGAGGCAGAGACCAGAAAUCAGAGCAAGAGACCAUGAGACCAUAAACUUCCAGGACCGUGGGCAUCUAGGACAGAGUUCAUGUCCUCUUUUCUGACGUUUCAAAGAACAGGUGAGCCCCGUUAACAUCCCAGGUACACAUUUAUCUGCACUUAAACCAUUUGCUUAACAGCUAACAUAAGGCAAGUGCUGUACCAGAUGCGGAAGAUACAGGGAAAGACGUGGAGACAGAUGAAGCACUCCUACUUCUCUGAAGACGCUGAAGGAAAUAUAAAGUCCACACACAUGCUGUCUGUGAAGGUUACUCCUGAUUGCCAACUUGAUCUGGCUGAGCAAUGCCUGGGAAACUGGCAGAGCACACUUCUGGGUGAGUCUGUGGGCGUUUCCAGAGACGCUUCGAUUAUGAGGGCUCUGGCUGCCCUCGUGGGUCCGUCCACUGACUCGAUCAGAGGCGACAGAGACUUCGGAGGUAAGGCCCGGUUUAAAGGAGUGAGUCAUGGGGCUCGGCCUUGGGAAUCUGUCUGGCCCUGCCCCUUUCUCCUCAGGUUUUCCCCUUCUCACUCUGCUUUCCGGCUACCAUGAGGUGAGUAGCUUUGUCCACCGGGACAUUUCUGCCUUCCGUCAGGCCCACAGCAAUGAACCAGACAACCACGGAUUAAAGCUUCUAAAACAUGAGCCAAAGCAAGCUUUUCCUCCUCUGACCUGUGGAUCUCAGGCAUUUGUUCUUCCUCGGUCUAUCCUCUCAUAGUAUCCCAGAGUCACACCAGAUCUGUGUCAAGAAGUGACUGACAGCACGAACUUAAGUCCUCUCUGCCUCGCUAAUCUUCCACCAAAGCCAACCCAGGUUUUGAAGAAGUAUUUGAUACAACAAAUCAUUUUAUCCAUUUUCUCACAGAAUAAAAAGCAUCUUUGAAAAGCUUUUCUAAUUUUAUGACCUUUGAUAUCCAAACAGAAAGACA
rnacentral:lncRNA from 1 species